CUCUUUGGUUUGUGUAAUGGUGCUCUUGGUUGAGUGUGCUGACGAAAGAGAUUCCAUGCUACAGGCUAGGUAGCUUCUCAGUAACUCUUCGUGAUUUACUUGUAAUGUUAUACUUUGCAAAAUUGUUCCUUGCAAUCCUAAAAUGGUUUCUCAAAACAUGGGAAAAUUUACAUUCUAAAAAUUGUAGGCACACUGAGUGAAGCAUAUAUAUAAAUUCUAUUAUAACAGAGGUCAGGUAUAUAUAUAUAUAUAUGCAAAUUGUUAUAAUAUGAUUUUAUUAGAAUAGAGGUCAGGUACUGCCAUGACGUAAGGAGGGUGUGACACCAAGUUUUAUAUAUAUUGUGAUUUUAGUUUUCAUCAAUGUCGCUAUUAUUAUUAUUAUCUCUUUAUAGCUUCAUAUAAAAUCAGUACUGACAUGGUCAUUUUACAGUGUAAAAAUGGUAGGUGUUAGAAUCAUAACCUGUGACCGAGUGCCUUAAGAAGUUCUUUUCAUUAUUGUUAAUUAAUAUAAUUUUUAGUAUCUAGGGAGUCAGAUUGUGGAUUACAUGUAGUGGGGAAGUAGGGAGGGGGACGAGGAAGAGGACACCGUCGGUGGCGUGCUAUAUCUCACUAGGCGACAAUGUCGGGUUGAGGUGGUUUGAUAAUCCUGGGUUGUUCCUCUUUUUCCUACAUUUUUUUUUCCAGGAAAUGACUUUAUUUGGAAAAUGGCAAUAUCGUUUACAAGUAUACAUGAAACAAGCUAUUUUUCCUACACCUCUUUGGUUUGUGUAAUGGUGCUCUUGGUUGAGUGUGCUGACGAAAGAGAUUCCAUGCUACAGGCUAGGUAGCUUCUCAGUAACUCUUCGUGAUUUACUUGCAAUGUUAUACUUUGCAAAAUUGUUCCUUGCAAUCCUAAAAUGGUUUCUCAAAACAUGGGAAAAUUUACAUUCUAAAAAUUGUAGGCACACUGAGUGAAGCAUAUAUAUAAAUUCUAUUAUAACAGAGGUCAGGUAUAUAUAUAUAUAUAUAUAUAUAUAUAUAUAUAUAUAUAUAUAUAUAUGCAAAUUGUUAUAAUAUGAUUUUAUUAGAAUAGAGGUCAGGUACUGCCAUGACGUAAGGAGGGUGUGACACCAAGUUUUAUAUAUAUUGUGAUUUUAGUUUUCAUCAAUGUCGCUAUUAUUAUUAUUAUCUCUUUAUAGCUUCAUAUAAAAUCAGUACUGACAUGGUCAUUUUACAGUGUAAAAAUGGUAGGUGGUAGAAUCAUAACCUGUGACCGAGUGCCUUAAGAAGUUCUUUUCAUUAUUGUUAAUUAAUAUAAUUUUUAGGGCCAGUUUAUAUGCGUCGUCAAAAAAUAUGAGUAAAAUCAGUGAAUAUUCUGCAUUGCCUUGGUGUUUGGUGUGUCUAUUGCAUAAUCAUUUUCUUUUUAGCUUCUCUUUCCAAGCAAGGACCAGGCUGGGAACAUAUGUUUAUAAUGAAGUUCUUUCAUUGCAG
rnacentral:lncRNA from 1 species